rfam:Rattus norvegicus chromosome 8, whole genome shotgun sequence.
GGGGAUUUAGCUCAGCGGUAGAGCGCUUGCCUAGCAAGCGCAAGGCUCUGGGUUCGGUCCCCAGCUCCA